rnacentral:rRNA from 1 species
ACAGCAGCCGCCGCGGUAAUACGUAGGUGGCAAGCGUUGUCCGGAAUUAUUGGGCGUAAAGGGCUCGCAGGCGGUUUCUUAAGUCUGAUGUGAAAGCCCCCGGCUCUACCGGGGAGGGUCAUUGGAAGCUGGGAAACUUGAGUGCAGAAGAGGAGAGUGGAAUUCCACGUGUAGCGGUGAAAUGCGUAGAGAUGUGGAGGAACACCAGUGGCGAAGGCGACUCUCUGGUCUGUAACUGACGCUGAGGAGCGAAAGCGUGGGGAGCGAACAGGAUUAGAUACCCCGGUAGUCCCUGUCUCUUAUAC